rnacentral:rRNA from 1 species
GACGAACGCUGGCGGCGUGCUUAACACAUGCGAGUCGAACGGAAAGGCCCUGCUUUUGUGGGGUGCUCGAGUGGCGAACGGGUGAGUAACACGUGAGUAACCUGCCCUUGACUUUGGGAUAACUUCGGGAAACUGGGGCUAAUACCGGAUAGGAGCUCCUGCUGCAUGGUGGGGGUUGGAAAGUUUCGGCGGUUGGGGAAGGACUCGCGGCUUAUCAGCUUGUUGGUGGGGUAGUGGCUUACCAAGGCUUUGACGGGUAGCCGGCCUGAGAGGGUGACCGGCCACAUUGGGACUGAGAUACGGCCCAGACUCCUACGGGAGGCAGCAGUGGGGAAUAUUGCACAAUGGGCGGAAGCCUGAUGCAGCAACGCCGCGUGCGGGAUGACGGCCUUCGGGUUGUAAACCGCUUUCGCCUGUGACGAAGCGUGAGUGACGGUAAUGGGUAAAGAAGCACCGGCUAACUACGUG